rnacentral:tRNA from 1 species
GGGCGGUUAGCUCAGUUGGUUAGAGCGUUGCAGUGACAUUGCAAAGGUCACAGGUUCGAAUCCUGUACCGCCCACCA